GACGGGGGGGGGCAAGUGUUCUUCGGAAUGACUGGGCGUAAAGGGCACGUAGGCGGUGAAUCGGGUUGAAAGUGAAAGUCGCCAAAAAAGUGGCGGAAUGCUCUCGAAACCAAUUCACUUGAGUGAGACAGAGGAGAGUGGAAUUUCGUGUGUAGGGGGUGAAAUCCGUAGAUCUACGAAGGAACGCCAAAAGCGAAGGCAGCUCUCUGGGUCCCUACCGACGCUGGGGUGCGAAAGCGUGGGGAUCAAACAGG
rnacentral:rRNA from 1 species